rnacentral:snRNA from 1 species
CUGCUCACUCUAGCAGCAGGUACACUAAAAAUCGGCACAAUACAGAGAAGGUUAGCAUGAUCCCUGCAUAAGGAGGACAUGCAGGUUAAUGAAUUGUUCUAUAGUUUA